CCUACGGGAGGCAGCAGUGGGGGAUUUUGCACAAUGGGGGGAACCCUGAUGCAGCGACGCCGCGUGGGUGAAGAAGCGCCUCGGCGCGUAAAGCCCUGUCAGCAGGGAAGAAAAUGACGGUACCUGAAGAAGAAGCCCAGGCUAACUACGUGCCAGCAGCCGCGGGAAUACGUAGGGGGCAAGCGUUAUCCGGCUUUACGGGGUGUAAAGGGGGCGCAGACGGCGAUGCAAGCCAGGAGGGAAAGCCCGGGGCCCAACCCCGGGACUGCUCUUGGAACUGCGUGGCUGGAGUGCAGGAGGGGCAGGCGGAAUUCCUGGUGUAGCGGUGAAAUGCGUAGAUAUCAGGAGGAACACCGGUGGCGAAGGCGGCCUGCUGGACUGCAACUGACGUUGAGGCCCGAAAGCGUGGGGAGCAAACAGGAUUAGAUACCCUUGUAGUC
rnacentral:rRNA from 1 species